CGGUAACAUUUCUAGCUUGCUAGAAGAUGACGAGUGGCGGACGGGUGAGUAAUACUUAGGAAUAUGCCUUUGUGUGGGGGAUAACUAUUGGAAACGAUAGCUAAUACCGCAUAACGUCUUCGGACCAAAGGGGGCUUCGGCUCCCGCGCAAAGAGUAGCCUAAGCGAGAUUAGCUUGUUGGUGAGGUAAAGGCUCACCAAGGCGACGAUCUCUAGCUGUUCUGAGAGGAAGAUCAGCCACACUGGAACUGAGACACGGCCCAGACUCCUACGGGAGGCAGCAGUGGGGAAUAUUGCACAAUGGGGGCAACCCUGAUGCAGCCAUGCCGCGUGUGUGAAGAAGGCCUUCGGGUUGUAAAGCACUUUCAGUUGUGAGGAAAGGUUGGUGGUUAAUACCCAUCAGCUGUGACGUUAGCAACAGAAGAAGCACCGGCUAACUCCGUGCCAGCAGCCGCGGUAAUACGGAGGGUCCGAGCGUUAAUCGGAAUUACUGGGCGUAAAGCGCACGCAGGCGGUUUGUUAAGCUAGAUGUGAAAGCCCCGGGCUCAACCUGGGAAUAGCAUUUAGAACUGGCAGACUAGAGUCUUGGAGAGGGGAGUGGAAUUUCUGGUGUAGCGGUG
rnacentral:rRNA from 1 species